rnacentral:rRNA from 1 species
AUUGAACGCUGGCGGCAGGCCUAACACAUGCAAGUCGAACGAGUGGCGGACGGGUGAGUAAUGUCUGGGCAACUGCCCGAUGGAGGGGGAUAACUACUGGAAACGGUAGCUAAUACCGCAUACCAUCGGAUGUGCCCAGGUGGGAUUAGCUAGUAGGUGGGGUAACGGCUCACCUAGGCGAAGAUCCCUAGCUGGUCUGAGAGGAGGACCAGCCACACGGGAACUGAGACACGGUCCAGACUCCUACGGGAGGCAGCAGUGGGGAAUAUUGCACAAUGGGCGAAAGUCUGAUGUAGCCAUGCCGCGUGUAUGAAGAAGGCCUUCGGGUUGUAAAGUACUUUCAGCGAGGAGGCGUUACGCGCAGAAGAAGCACCGGCUAACUCCGUGCCAGCAGCCGCGGUAAUAC